GAUGAACGCUGGCGGCGUGCCUAAUACAUGCAAGUAGAACGCUGAAGGAGGAGCUUGCUCUUCUGGAUGAGUUGCGAACGGGUGAGUAACGCGUAGGUAACCUGCCUGGUAGCGGGGGAUAACUAUUGGAAACGAUAGCUAAUACCGCAUGACAACAGUUAUUGCAUGAUAACUGUUUAAAAGGGGCAACUGCUCCACUACCAGAUGGACCUGCGUUGUAUUAGCUAGUUGGUGAGGUAACGGCUCACCAAGGCGACGAUACAUAGCCGACCUGAGAGGGUGAUCGGCCACACUGGGACUGAGACACGGCCCAGACUCCUACGGGAGGCAGCAGUAGGGAAUCUUCGGCAAUGGACGGAAGUCUGACCGAGCAACGCCGCGUGAGUGAAGAAGGUUUUCGGGUCGUAAAGCUCUGUUGUAAGAGAAGAACGAGUGUGAGAGUGGAAAGUUCACACUGUGACGGUAUCUUACCAGAAAGGGACGGCUAACUACGUG
rnacentral:rRNA from 1 species